AAAAUCCCAAGGAGGCUCUACGCUCAGUGCAGAGCCCGACGCGGGGCUUGAUCCCACGACCCUGGGACCCGACCUGACCUGACUCUUUUCCCAGCAGCAGCUGCUCCUGGAGGAGAGCCAGGCGGAGACUGUGUUCGGAGGAAGCACGCCCGCCCAGCCCCGGGCCCCCGCGUGUUUUCCGAGGCCUUGACAGACGGCUGCCCCGAGGCCAUGCAGAGACCCAGACGUUAUUCAGUUACAAAAAAAAAAAAAAAAAAAAAAAAAAAAAUCAAACAGCAGCAAACCUCAGUGGAAUGCUACGGUUUCCAAGUUUCCUCAACGCAGUCCUCCCUGCAAAUCACCCACGAGGCUUGGCGGGCCACUUCAAAGGGCUCCUCUGUCUUAAAUUCCAAUAAACGUAUUUAUUAAUACACUUGAAUAAACCCCUUGGUUCCUCUUCUUCCUUAACGAAGAUCUGCUCUACGCUUUCCCACGUACCGGCGGGUCACAGCACCACACCACGGGGAAGCCUUCACCUGUGCCGGGGGCUGGAAUGCAACUCUGACAAAACCAAAGGGAGAAAAACAGAAAAACAAGGACACGGGCAGGGCUCACAAAAACUCGUUUUAUUGCACCCGGAUCUUGGCAACGUCUGGGGCGCCUCAGCCCCGGGAGCGGAGGCGUGGCUCACGGGACGCAGUGGGCUGAGCCCACCGGGAAAAGGCAGGUGAGUGAGGCCAAUGGGAGAGGGGGACCCUUCCCCCCAAACACAAAGUUAAAUUAAACCCAUGUUCUAAGUCAACCAAGUGACUGCUAUCAUAUAAAAGCUUUCGUUACUUAUAUAUAUUUAUAUAUUUACACAUCCCCUAGAGUUUGGACUGACUUUCCGGGCUCACCCUUUCCCCUUCCCAGUGUGGCUGACGACCUUCUGCGGGAGGAAAGGGCUUGCCCCUAUGAACAGUGAUGAAUGCCGUAGACAGGCCAGUGCUCAGCACCGCCCAAGACACAACGGGCAUGUUUUCCUAGAAAAAGGUUUCAUAAUUACACAGUGGAUGAGGGAAGAGCCUGGUCUGAAGAGGGAGCAAGAAAAGAGACAAAUUCUGUGUUGCAGACAAUGAACUUCCCUUUUCAACUAUAGAACGUUCCAGAAAAAUAGGGCCAUACAAGAAUGAAGGUCAACACUGCAAGGGGGGGGGGUAAAAAAAAAGAGCCCUGCCCAUAAAGGCCCCUGUCUUCCCCCCCAAACGGGCAGAUGACAAGGCCAUAGAACACUGGGGACUGGGGUGGGGUGGGGUGGGGAGCAACCUUUAUCUACGAACAAGGUUCCGUCCCCUGAAAAAGCAAAAGGCCCCCGCACAGGUGACACAGCACCCAAGCUUCCUGCUGGGACCAGAAGCAGCCCCAGAACGGGCCAGGGUAUUAGUACUCUCCCACCUUUUCCAAAGAGAAAUAGGACAGGAAGGAAAACCAAACACAACUAUCUCCGUGAAAAAAUUAACGUACCUCCCUCUGUGAAACACUAACGCUUUUUCUGAUCCCCCCCCCCCCCCCGGCCCCAGAGCAAGCGGCAAGGCUCGGGAAGAGUGUGGCACCGGGGUGCCGGACAAGGGCAUCGGCGGGCCUCAGGCCGCGAGGGACAGACAGGUCCACACCAGACGUCAGUCCACCUCCACGCGGACGUUCCCAAGAGGAAAGGACGCGCAGAUGUGUUCCGUGGAGUCGCUCUAAGAUUGACCUCUACGCCCUCUACUACUGGGUCACGUGUCUGUUCUCCGGAAAACGCCACCUCAACUGAGGGUUUCCCACAUUUAUUAAAUUACGAGUUCGCAGGCACAGCUUGAGCAAGAUAAAAAAGUGAUCUCGAAUCAUACAAUCAUCUAAAUUCAAAAGCACUCACAAAAUUGAGCAAAUAAAGCUGGUAUCGCGUACUGGGGGAAGGAAACAUAUUGCUGAUGGAAGCCACAGACCUGGUCAAAACGAAAGUCUUCUAUUAAGUAGCAAAAGAAAAGGGUUCUACCCCAAGACCACCACCUCGAUAAAGACCCGCGGGUCGCUGCAGCUGCAGGGGAAGGAAUGGCAAAGCCACCUCGGAAUAAACAGCCGGAAAGGCAGGCGUGUCGGCACAUCGUCUCGAGGCCCCUGCUCCCCGGAGCCGGCCUAGAGUCUCUCGCGGGGGACGAUACACCGGAAGGGCCGCCCCCGAUUCCAGAAAAGGGAGGAGUGCGGUGGGCGGCGGCCCCGGGCUUACCCUCUGAGGGGACACGUAAGGCAUAGACAGAGCCCCCCCCCACCCCCCCCGCAGAGACGGGGAGGCUGGGACCAGACGGCGGCGCUGGCCGCCAGCAGCAAGGGACGGACAUCUCGCCCUCUCGCCCGAGGAUGCGCCGGGAGGGGUGCGGCCGCCGUCCUCCCCCGCGCCCCCCGCAGGCCACACGCACUGCCGGCCCGGCGUGCUGCCACCCGCUCUGCGCAUCACCGUGCGGCUCACGCCGUGACACCAGAGGUCCCGAUCCAAAGAAGCCCAGGGCCUCCGUGGGCCGUCCUCCUGCGGCGGGCUCGCGGCGCCGGCCUGGUGGCCACGGGGCACAAAGUCCUCGGCGGGGCUGCUCUCAGCUCAGACGGACAGGACCCAGGAAGGACACCUCAUCUCUGGAGGCUGUAGGGCAAAGGACAUUGCUCCUGACGAGAAAGGAGAGCCUGGGACUCCCGCCAACGUCCCGGAGGGCGUGUCCACACCGGUCAGCACGUGACAUCAGACGGAGCCAGCUCUGUCCCGCGCACACGCACCACACCCCCCACCCUUACACCUCAUCACACAACCCCCACACUUAACACACACCUCACCACACACACGCAUAUGCACCAGACACAACCCAGAACCCCACACUGACAUCCGCUACACACUCACACACACACACACACACACACACACACACACACACACACACACACACACACACUGACCCAUCUCGACAGCAGCAAACUCAGCGGCGGUAACUGAGGCUGGUAGCCUUAGCUGGGUGAGUCACAGACCAAAAGUUCCGUCUACUUUGAAGUUUCUGGAAGGCGUUGAAGGUUCUUUUCUUCUCUUUCUUGAACUUUUUCACUUUCUUUUCCUGCGUCAAGAAACCGCACGCGUCACAAUUCCCAAAAAGGGCUCAUCCCGUUCCCGCAGCCCCUCGUGAAGGCUUACUGCGGGGGGGGCCACACGGAUCUCAACAUGCCACCAAAUCGACAGGCUUUCUCUUCGUGCGGCCCGCGGGAGGCGUCCCCACUGUCCCCACCUUGCUGGGGAAGGAACAAAGCAGCGGGGGACAGAUGCCUCGUCCGUGGCCACGCCACGUUCAGAGCGGCCAGGCCGGCAUCGAGCCCAGCAGCCCACCUCCCGCCGUCCCGGACGACUUCACGAGGCCACUGCCACUUCCAACCGCCCCAAAGGGCCUAGUCCUCCCUGAGCCAGGCCCCAGCGGGGCCACCACGAGCACCCCGCCACACCGGCCACGAGCACACCCCGUACCUUCCCUCGAUCGAACUCUUCGUCCCAGUCGUCGAUCACCGUGGCCGCGCGGGCCCAUCUGCUGUCCUGAAUGGCGUCCUGACUGACGGCCGACACCUCGCCGUCCCACGUCAACACUGCAAAACAGACACCUCUGUGCACCGGCUUCCAGAACGCGGUGUAGACAGGGACGGGCCUACUACUGAUACACUCAAACGUUCGAGUGCCACCCUCUGGUGAAACGGACAUGCAGAGAAGGACGGGGGAGGGCAGAGGGGCCCGCAGCGAGCAGGACAGUCAGCGGUUCCGUGACUUCCACGCAGACGUCCUUGGCUCUGCAUCGUCAGCCCGCAGUUAGUCCCUUUCAGACCCGCGCCCUCGUUUACCAGAGGUCUCAGGCACAGGAUGUUUCCCUCCAACCCGUGCCCGCCCGGCCCGCGCCACCCAGGGGCACAGGGUCUGCUCUCCCCGCCCCCAGGGACCGGUUCUGAACGGACACUCCUCGGCUCAUCUUCGGAGCCCAGCAAUUCCCGCGCCCCAGGAUCGCGACCCCAGGGCCCAUCUGAGACCUCUGCGCUGCCCGGGCUCAAAACCGGUACCUUUCCUCCCGUAGGCUUUAUCUGAGGAAUACUCAAGCAGCUCCUGGAGCACGUCGGCCUCCCCGUCUCGGACCCAGGACACGCGAGGAGCCCGUGCCUGCCCUACAAUCAGACAAAGACCACGUCUGCCUCUCAUGAGGGACCCGACUGCUUUUCCACAGACGGACCACCGUCCACCCCGACUCUCGGAAAAGACCAAAACCCCAGCGCCCCACCGUGGGAACCGGCGCCUCCUCCAGGGAAGGGGCCAGAAAUGAGGGGCCGGAACCGGAGGGAACCACAAAGCACCAGCAUCGCCUCAGCUUCCGGGGAGGAGGUCUCUCAGCCCCGUCCCGGCACGGCCAGGCCACCAUGGACACCUGGGUACUGACGGCUCUGACCACCCUCCUCAGGCUUCUAGAAACGACGUCUGCCUGGUCCCAACCUCUGCCCGAGCUCCUCUGCCGACAGCUGCCAGAACGGAUUCCCUUCCCUCAGCACAAAGCGGACCUUGCUCUCCUGGCCUCCACUUUGUCAGUGACCCCAUGAACUGUGGGCUCGCGUCCCGAGCGCGGUGCCCCUCGGCCGGUGCCCGCUGCCCUCUCCAGCCUCCUGCCCUGCUCCACAGAACGGCCCGGGCCAGUGGUCCCGCUGAGCUACCGCAACGCUCUCCCCAUCUCCCGGCCAUGAAGGCCUUUGCCCACGAAGCCCAGCCUUGUGAUAUUCGGGAUGGGAAGCAAACAGACGAGGGGCCGCGGGGGCACCUGCGCCGGGCGGUGGGCCCUGAGGCCCGAGCACCGUCUCCACGUGCUCAGCGUGCUGACAGAGCAAGCCGGGGUCUGACGACCGCGGCCGGGCUGCUCCGUGGCCACCUCCGUGCGGACAUUUUCUCGACACUCUGGCCGCCUUAUUCGGCACGGCCUCGUGGUAGCGCUUCCCACGGUAAUCAACGCCCAGCCAGAUUCGCUUCUCAGGGGCUGGACAAAUACACAGCGCUCCCCAGCAGCCCGCUUGCCCCCAAAAGCACGAACGUAACCGGAUCCCCAGGCGGCAGAGCAGAUCUCACGGAGUCUGCCGCCUGCCGGGUCCCUUCCCGAGCAGGGGUGACCUUCUCUACCCUUCGCUUAGUGGACACGCUGUGUCAGGAGCACCCAGCUGAGGCUGGCCAGCUCUGAGGGAACAAGGAAACAAAAGCCUUGUGCUGAGCCACGGGCGUUUAAGGCCUGGGGACAGCCGAAACACUGGGCACCCGGGCAGCAAGACGCCACGUGAUCUUCAGAAAAGGCCAAAUGUAAACACAGGCCGACACUCCAAGUUCAAGAGUCACGGAGGAACUCUCGGCUGGAUGGCCCAGGACUCAUCCUGACGGGAAAGUUCAGGCAGGAAGAGCCCUGAAUCGGGAAAAACACAGUAUUCCCAGAACGUGGAGAAGCGCACGCGUAUACCUCUCUGCUUCUCCGGAGUAGUUACAGCCGGAUGCUUGUCCGGAUGGGGAGGCAGUGACCCCCAGGGCAGGCGGCUUGCCCACGGGGACAGAGCAGAGGUAAGGGGUCUUCGUCCUGGCCCCUCCCCCUGCACCGCACCUGCCUCUGGAAUACAGCAGGCCUGUGCCCAGCCCCCUUCCCCUGCGGUCCCCUUCCCGGACGUACAGCCACGCGGCCCCGGGCCCAGCCCCCGGCUCCCCCUCCUCGGCGGGUGCACACCUGCUCGGUCCCCGGGCCGCCUGCCGUUCACGGCCGGUGAGGGCUGGCUCCCAGGGACGGCAGGGCCCCUCUGCGUCUCGCCCCUACAGGCUGCGGGGAGCUCGUUCUCUUGUACUUCCUGCCGUGACUCCUGCUGCCUUCUUUUCUUUUCCUUUUUCCUUGGAGAUGCUGCACUGGCCUCUGACUCGGUGACAUCCAAGAGAGAACAGCUGCCGGGAAGUCAGUCAACAGUCAGCUCUGAGCAAACGGGGAGUGAGAGUGGGGGUUCACUCGCCCCGGAACUCCCAGAUGGCAGAUGCCUAACUGUGCGGAAGAGCCCCCCCUGAGAAACCGCCCCCCCCCACCCCCCGACGUGAGCAGGACAGAGCGUACUAGCUGUCCGAGGCCACGGUCGGGGAGAAAAGCCCAUAACUGCAACCGAACCGGGCAAGUCGUAUAGGCCGAUGACGUGGCCGCGGCACCUGCCGCCUGGGGGCACGCACCACGCCAGCCGGCUCUGGAACAAUGCCGCCCGCUCACCGCCCCGGCGAGACACCUGACGACGCGGCCACGUCCUAGAAGCCUGGUCGGCACGCUGCACUUCCAGACGACACCCACCUGGGUCGGACCGUGUCGCUGGCGGGGUGGGGGGCCGCCUGGCUCCCUGCGCUCACCUGUGCCACGGUGGGUCCUGCGGGAGGCCGUCUUCGGCGCCGAGGCCCUCGGCUCCCUCCCGCCUCCUCUUUCUGCUGCUCACGUGGUGGCUGUCGGCCACGCGCCCCGCUUGCUGGCCGUUCUUUUGCUGCCGUCCGCCCUCCUCCUCCAGGCGGUCCACGGGCACCUCCGCCCGGCCCUCCUUCCUGCGCUCGAGGCCCCGGUGCUGCCUCUGCACCUGCCCCUCCUGCAGAGGGGAGGCGUCCACGGCCUCCGCGCGUUUCCCCUUCUUCUUUCUCCUCUUCCCGGGAGGGGCUGCGGCCGCGGCGCACGUCUCUGAGCCCCGCCCCUGCGUCUCUCCCCUCCGGUUCCUCUUCCUCUUCUUACAGAGGCUCCGGGGGGGCUUGCUGGCCUCCGGCAGCUGGUGUGGAGGGGCCCGGAAGCCCCCGUUGACCUGAGGCAGGGGAGCAGAGGCGGAGGAGCAGCUCUGUGGGUCUGACGUCCCGAGGGGUCGGGGGCUACUGGACAGUGACGAGCAGGGGCCGACGGGGAGCUUCGGACGGCUGGAUGGUCUGGGAGCAGGGAAACACAGAUCUGCAAAAAUGACCAGACCCCCGCAGACCGCGAAGGGCUCCCACCUCCCGGCAGCCUGCGUUUGGAUUUGAUCUUCAGGCCGAAGGGGAAGGUUCACAGAAGCGGUCGACAGAAAGGACCGAUCUGUUUCUCAACGACAGACGGUGUUACGGUACUCCUUUUUACAAGAGUUCGGGACCAAUGCUCUACCUGAGACUGGCUUCCACGGCCCGUCCUGCUGCGGGCACACGACAAAUUUAGGUUUUGUCAGUUACUACGUCACGAACGUCACUCUGAAAUCUGACCCGGGCUGAGGGCUGGCAGGCCGUGAGCACGUGGGUUUGUCUCCGCGGGACACCAUCCGGUCCCCCACGACCCCCAGGCCGCCCCCUCCCACUCACAGUUGCGAGCAUGCUCCUUGGAGAGCAGGUAGUUGGCCAGAGGCGGGGUGUAGGUCAAGCACUGUACGGUCGAGUUCAAGAAGCAGGUGUUGCCGAGGUUGUGGAGCCCCGCUCCCACGCGGUAAACCCGCUCCCACUUUAGAGACAGCCGCUCGGUGGGGAAGAGCACUUUCUGUGGGGCGGGGACACCGUCCCCACAGCUCUCGUACGCGUGCUCGCUGCCUGUGAGAGAAGGGACGAGGGAAGAAAAAAGGGCCUGAGUCCACGCACAGAUGGACCACAAGAGGCACACUCGGCCUGCACGUGGCCAAAACACGGCGUCAGAGGCUAACUGGUGUUCCCGCCCACCGGGAGUUACUAGAAAGCCCGGGAGAAAACCCGGUCAUCCCACGGUCCUCGCAGACUGCACAGGUCUGGAAUUCGAGGAGCCCCCCACGGAUGGGAAGGCAAGACUCAGAGAACGAACGACUAGAGGGGCCAGGCCCCCGCAUGCUGAGGCCCAGCCCGCUCCUCUCGUUUCCAAGCCCCGCUUUUGAUGAAACGCACACGAGUUCCAAGGCCUCUCUAAGGUCACGGAUCUCUUUCUGACCAACCCCGUGUCAUUACUUCUACGACUAAGAGCCACCGACCCCACUGAAACCUCCCAACUCUCUGACCACAUCUCUAUUUUUGUUCCUCCCACUCGGCCAACGCUCCGUCCAUCCGCGUGGUCAACACACAUCGAGACCCCUCCUGCCGGCCCACCGUGCAUCUGUACCCUGUCUCCUGGCCUGAGGCUCAUCUCCACUCCUGUGGCGACCGGCUCCCUCCGUUUUAGGGUUCAGCAAGACAUAUUUGCUCUUUAAGGACUCCAGCUGAUAGGAGAAACUCUUGCUGGCUGGCUCGAACUCAAUCUUCUGUAGAAGGACUUUCUUGGCAGAGGAGGCCAGGAGCUUCCCCAGCUCUCCAUCGUCAGCUGAGUCCUUGCGGCCGGGUUUCAGGGCUUCCUUCAACUUAUCGACUAUUGGCAUGGUGCAUCACCGUGGGGACAAGAAGGGACACAGAGCGACGAGUACCCAGGUCCCAGGAACAAAGCAUCACUUCUCUGCAAUCCCCUCUUUGGUCUUUACGGAUGCUAGCCACCACACAAGCUUCUCUGGAUCGGCUGCCAACCCUACAAAGGAAGUGUGAAACAUGGAAAUGUGUCACCAACCGCUUGGACGGAGCGGAGGCCGUGCUUCUCUCAGAAAGACCAGGUGCUUCCACAAACACACGGUGACGGCACCAGCGCCAGGCGAACUGUGCAACGUGCAUUUGCUCCACACGGGACCGCGCGCCUCCGGCCGGGCACACCUGCCUUCAAAAGGUGACCUCGUGGUCCUAAUGUGUGCUCACAAACAGGGAAACGCUAACUCUCACAGGACACCCUGGUUGCACACACAAAUCCAUGUAAUAAAAGAAGUAAAUGGG